CUACGAAUCGAAGCCCCAGUAAACGGCGGCCGUAACUAUAACGGUCCUAAGGUAGCGAAAUUCCUUGUCGGGUAAGUUCCGACCCGCACGAAAGGCGUAACGAUUUGGGCACUGUCUCAACGAGAGACUCGGUGAAAUCAUAGUACCUGUGAAGAUGCAGGUUACCCGCGACAGGACGGAAAGACCCCGUGGAGCUUUACUGUAGCCUGAUAUUGAAAUUCGGCACAGCUUGUACAGGAUAGGUAGGAGCCUUUGAAACGUGAGCGCUAGCUUACGUGGAGGCGCUGGUGGGAUACUACCCUAGCUGUGUUGGCUUUCUAACCCGCACCACUUAUCGUGGUGGGAGACAGUGUCAGGCGGGCAGUUUGACUGGGGCGGUCGCCUCCUA
rnacentral:rRNA from 1 species